rnacentral:lncRNA from 1 species
GAUGUGACCAGCUGGGCAGAUGGAGCUGCCAUCUGGAGGGAGAAUCCCAGCUUCGACAUUGAGAUCUUCCGCAGAGGGAAGCGAGGCUGUCAAGGACAGGUGCCUGUGUACCCGUGCCUCCUGCUCUUCUCUUCCUCCUCAUUCCUUUAUUCUUCCUUCUACCCCUUCCCUACAGUGACCUCUGUCACCACAAGAUCAAGAGGCCAGAGAACCUACUUCCAAUUCAGAGUGUGAAUUCCCAUGAAAAUCCAAUCAUCAAAUUCUAUGGAAAGUAAGGCGUCCUGAGUUCCUCACCUCAUCUUUCACUCCUUGGCAUGGUGCCUCCUCAAGGUUACAGGUGAUCUUGGACUUAGGAGAAGAGAGAAGACGCUGAAGGAGGUGUGGAAAGCUCAGGGAGUGGGAAUGGCUUUCCUUAUCUGCCCAUCGAUCAUGUCCGUGCUUCAGUUGAGACUGAAGUCACUUGGCAGCCACACGUUUUAGACUGAGGUAACUCCCCACUGCCAUAAAGGUCAAGAAAGCCACUGUGCUGACACAGGUCCUCCCCUGACAGCCUGUUCCACAGCGACCCUUGAGUCAUCAUGU